AAUAAAGCAAAAAGUGCAAGAGAGAAAGAAGAGAAAAGAGAGAGACAGAGAGAGAGAGAGGAGGAAAAUAGAGUCAGCUUUAAUAAGCCCAUGACAGAGGACUGUGUAAGACACACUAUGCCACAAGGCCACACACACUUGCAUUAACAUGACUCUCAGCAUUAGCUUACAGCGAUCAAACACACACAAUGAUUUGAGCCCCUCGAUCUGUACAAGACAGAUAAGAUAAUAAAACUUACAGCCUUCAUUUAGACCAGCUAUUACGUUACAUACAAUACAUUCAAUCCUGCUUUGGCAUGAGCGCUUUCUACCAUGUUGUUUACACUGCAAAACACAGCAUUUUGUAUUGUUUUCCUGUAUAAAUAUUCUCUUUUUAACAUUUAAUUUUUACCCUCUUGUUUUUAAGCAUAAACCUCAUUAAACUGUAUUAGAUUUAUGCUUGAAACAACAACAAAAAAUAAUUGUUUGUUUUAGAUUUUUAGAUAUUUCUUAUCGGAAAAAAAGACAAAAUGACUAGUUAAGAACAAUAUUCUCUGCAGUAUAAGUGGUUUUGCAAACCUUUAUACAUGCUAUAAAUUUUUACAUUAUAAAUAAGUGAUAUGUAGACAUUUACACACAUAUACGCACUGUUCAGGAAUACCAGGAACAUCGUUACACAUAUACACUGCGAUUGAUUACAACACACGGCCUACAUAAUUUCACUGGACACAUUAAUGCAAGAUGUUAGUGAGGCCUUGGAUUGGAGAGAGAGAAAGAGAGUGAUAUAGAGAGGAGGGAGGAGGAGGAAAUAAUAUGAUCAAAGAUUAGUAUUAAACCCCUGAAAGACUAGAGUCCAUCUGAGCAGUGAAUAAGAGAGAGGGGGUUUAGGAAUGUAAGACAUACACAAGGCAAACCCUGACACUUCACACACAUUCUCCUAAUGUUUUACAGACAUUUUCCAGAUGGUUCACUGAUUUUUGCAAGAUGGUUUACAGACUCAGAGCAGAUAAAUAACGGACUACAUGUUCCCUUAAUUCUUACAAAUAUCACAGACUGCUCCAGACCGCCCAAACAAACACACACUCGCACACACACUGCUCAGCGAAGAAACUAGAACAAAACAAGCUCUAUGCAACAAUCAAUCCAAAAGGCAAUAUUUGUCAUUCUGAAGUUUCAAAUAAAUACGUUGUAUUCUCUCUUUGAUAACGGCAGAGCAGUGACUCUGCCUUCAUUCUACUGUACAGUAUAUACAUACACACCUGAACGCUUCAGUGACAAAAUAUUUCAUACUGUUAAAUAAUAUAACCAUUGCAACAACCAAGCAAAGGACCUUGAUAUAUUGCUUCCUUCGUUUGUACAUGUGCUCCUGUACUAAACGACAGAUACUGCCUUUUUAAUAUACAUGUGCAAGUUAAAAAACAAAAAAACAAAACGAAACAUUUAAAUGAAACUUACGGACAGGAAAAUCAAACGAACAAGCAAACAAAACAAAAAUCUGAAUGUCUAUACAGCUUUCAAACCUCUGUCGACUACAUUAAUGAAGGGGAUUCUGCGUACUAUAUACAGACAGGUUAGCAUCCAUGCAUUGUCAACACUAAGCACAUUAACAUUCCAAAUAUGGACAUGGCAAACAAGGGGGCGGGGUAAAGGGAGGGGCUAGGUUCCACAGGGGGGCGGUUCCAAUGCAGCCACACCCUGAUUUAGAGCACAGACGCACAAUUGCUGACCCUUGCUCUGCCAAAGCAAAUACAUAUACAGUAUAAACCGUAGAGACCAUGUACAGUUUGCACACCCCGUACGGAGAGGCGCACCUGCGGUCGGUUGGUGUGACGGCUAGCGAGCAGUACGUACAGCAAGAGUCCGUGAAAGUCUUCUCGGCAGAACUUGGUAUGGCUGUAAUUCACAUGGUUUCACCAACUUCACUCCAACUUCAUCUGUUUGUUUAUUGGUUAAAUAGAUAUUAGGCUUCAGGGAAAAGUCUUUUAUUGAUGUUGGUUUUGUCCUCCUUUGUUUGUAGUGUCUUUCUUGUGGAUCUUAGAAUUGGCAAGCAACAGCGGACCAUCUUCAUCAGGGAUUGAAGGUCAUCAUCAAAGGCUUCCUACAGAAAUGUCCUGAAGCUGAGUAAAGAAAGUCAUGCAGGUUUGGAUCGACAUGAGGCAAGACGCAAAUGCAAGAAAACGAUUUUCUGCGGUGAGAUGAGAAGAGCAAAAGGGCGAGAAAUAGAGGAUGAAAAGAAAAGAAAUGGGUUCCUAGCGCUACAAACACCACUGCUGUGACAGAGUCUUUGAGUCCGAUGGUGCAGCCG